UGUCACCAAAAAUAAGAUGCUUAGAUACAGAUCUGUCUGCUUUGGACCACCUCAAUAAAGUGUUAUCAGUUUCAAGUUAAAUGAAUGACAUUGAACUCAGCUGACUGAAUAUGUACAAAGAUGGUAUCUUAGCUUGAACUCCCCCUUCCUGUUUGCCAGAUUCUCCACCAUUCUAUGAUUCAGAGGAAGAUGUAUGGAAAGUGGGCAUGAGUAAGCCCACUUUCAGACAGGUCCUGAUCUUCUCUUUAUCCCUCCCUGUUUCUUCUUUUCCUCUCUCUUAGCAAGUCCGGAGCAGGGUUGCUGGCAUGAGAUUGAGGCAUGACACUGCUUGUACCUGUUGACCAAGUCAUAGAGUGAGCACAGCAUCUGCUCAGUCCUCCUGCCUGAGACUCAGUUGCCUUACCAGAAGAGGCACACACGAAGAGCUUCAUUGAAUUACUGAAGAUAAGUCUUUCACCAAAAGGAAUUUGAGGCAGCUUGCAAAAUUGAUUAAUAGGAUUGGAAAACAGACUUCAGAGCCAAACUCGGAUUUUCUCUGGAAGAAAGUUUCAGCACAGUAAGUGUAACAGUUGAUCAAUGCCAGAAGUUAAAACAUUGCCUAGAAAGAUUCAUUAAUACUUAUUGUGUGCUUUCUGAGCUCUGGAAAUACAAAUGCACUUCAAUCGCUACAGGAUAUGGCAUGUUACAUCAACUUAGAUUACUUGCAGUUAAGGAAAUACUGACAGCUUCCAAAAUAAAGGAACAUCCAUGUAACAGAAUGAGCUUCUCAGGUGGCACAGUGGCGAAGAAUCCAGCUGCCAAUGCAGGA